GAGAAUACAACUUCAUUUGCUAUUCUUUAUCCUAUUUCUUUUGAUAGUGAAAAGAGAAAACUUGAACAAAUAUCUAAGCAAACUUCCCAGGGUUUAAAUGAUAUGUUUCUUUUAAUUUUUUAAUGGUUUACUCACAAAAAAAUGAAGACCAAACAGAGCCUGUGACUUCCACUCAAAAGAUUAAGUGAUAAACUUUAAUAUUGCUACUGGUCAUGAUCAUCUGAGAAUCUAAAUUAAACCAUACUAAAUAGUCUAAUUACAAUAAAUUCCAAUAUUCUGCUAUUAAAUAUUUAUGAUUGGUUACAACAAAUGUUAUUGAUACAAUUUUAUAUCCAUCAGCUUUAUUUAAGUCAGAUUUGAAAACAACAUACUAAAUUCUACUUUCAUAAAAACUCAUUGGCAGGAUAAAAAUGAAUAAUUUUCAGUGGUUUUAAAUUUCUGAUACUGUGGCUGAACAGAUAAUAAAUAGUGUUCUACUUCAUU
rnacentral:lncRNA from 1 species